AACGCAUAUGGCACCUUUUGACGCUUGUGAAAAGGUAUGCCUGUUUGAGAAUCAUAUUCCAUUAUUCAUUCUGUUCCUCUUCUGUUGAUGACUCCACUCGUGUGGGGUGUGGUUGAUGAGAGCGGCGACAGGAUGGGCACACUUGGACCUUUAUCAUUGAUCGUCCUGAAUUCUGCGAUGGUUGACCGUGUUGAUAGAUGCUGAGGAUGGAGAGUGGACGGCAUGCGUGUCAUGUGGUUCACUCGAUGUUCGUGUGCUUUGACACGUCAAGAAUACAAACAAAACAACCAUGAUCUCAAAUCAGGCAAGGCUACCCGCUGAACUUAA
rnacentral:misc_RNA from 1 species